GCCUUCGUGGUGUAGUGGUCUGCAUGCUAGACGCGUAACCGAGAGGUCCGUGGUUCGAUUCCCGGCGAAGGCG
rfam:Stegodyphus mimosarum contig71484, whole genome shotgun sequence.